UACGUAGGGUGCAAGCGUUAUCCGGAAUUAUUGGGCGUAAAGAGCUCGUAGGCGGUUUGUCGCGUCUGCUGUGAAAACUGGAGGCUCAACCUCCAGCCUGCAGUGGGUACGGGCAGACUAGAGUGCGGUAGGGGAGAUUGGAAUUCCUGGUGUAGCGGUGGAAUGCGCAGAUAUCAGGAGGAACACACGUGGCGAAGGCGGCUCUCUGGGACGGUACUGACGCUGAGACGCGAAAGCGUGGGGAGCGAACAGG
rnacentral:rRNA from 1 species